GAUGGACGCUAGCGGCAGGCCUAAUACAUGCAAGUCGAACGGUGUAGCAAUACACAGUGGCGCACGGGUGCGUAACACGUAUGCAACCUACCUAUCAUUGGGGGAUAGCCUUUGGAAACGGAGAUUAAUACCGCAUAAGACAGUAACAUGGCAUCAUGUAGCUGUUAAAGCUUUGGCGAUGAUAGAUGGGCAUGCGUCCAAUUAGUUAGUUGGUGAGGUAACGGCUCACCAAGACGAUGAUUGGUAGGGGAUCUGAGAGGAUAAUCCCCCACACUGGCACUGAGAUACGGGCCAGACUCCUACGGGAGGCAGCAGUAGGGAAUAUUGGGCAAUGGACGGAAGUCUGACCCAGCCAUGCCGCGUGCAGGAAGAAGGCGUUAUGCGUUGUAAACUGCUUUUUUAUAGGAAGAAGGAGACCUUGCGAGGUUUGGUGACGGUACUAUAAGAAUAAGCACCGGCUAACUCCGUGCCAGCCGCCGCGGUAAAAC
rnacentral:rRNA from 1 species